GUAUUGUGAAUUCAUACUGAGUGUAUAACAUUACCAGGUUCUUAACAGAUGUAUAUGCAGCUUUGAAUUCUUGUGAUGCUGAAUCCUGUAACGAUUCUGAGAACUGAGCUUCACCAUCACCAAAUAGAGAACGAAGAUUGACAUUGGCCAUGGUAUACUUAUAGAAAAGGAUCAUUGAUAGGGAAGAAAAACAACGCACAUGUGGAACAUCGGUAGAGAAAUAGCAUUUGAAUCCCAUCUGAAUUACUGCCAUAACAGAUUUCACUGAUAAACAGUAUCCUGUGGCAUCAACCACUCUUUUGAGGCAGUCUCUGUCAAACAGAAUAAAGAAAAUGAACAAGCCUAAAAAUUGGGAAUACCAUGUAUGCAUUUUUUUUUUUUUUAUUUUGUUAUUUAACUUUAAUUCCAAACUUCGUUCUAGAUUUGUGGUAGUAUUUUAUUAUAUUUUAUGUUUCAGUGUGUAGGCCGUCUUAAAGUUAGGCUCAGAAAAGUUGGUUUUUUUUAUGUUGUAGAAUUGAACUAAUUUUUUUAAAACCCACAAGAAUAUUUGAUGAAAAACUUUGAAGCGGUUAUUAAGAUUCAGAUUUUUUAAUAUUUAAAAACUGGAGGAAAAGAGACAUAACCACCCGUUUUCCCUUCUUACUUUUCCCCAGUUUUUAAAUAUUCAAAAAUAUGUAUCUCUCUAAUUAACUGCUUACAAGUUUUUUUUCAAAUAUACUUUGAGGCUUAGAAUGAUUAGUUCUACAACAUAUCAACAAAUGUAUGUCCUCCAGAGCUUGGCUUUAUUAAAUAGAAAUGCUACUUCCACAUCAAUAAUUAUAUCUACCCUUGUCAUAUUUUCUUAAAACAUAACAUUCGUUUAAAUAUUUUUGUCUUGCCAUAUUAUUGUAUAUACAUAAAAUCAAUA